rnacentral:rRNA from 1 species
GUCAGCUCGUGUCGUGAGAUGUUGGGUUAAGUCCCGUAACGAGCGCAACCCUUGUCCUUAGUUACCAGCACGUAAUGGUGGGCACUCUAAGGAGACUGCCGGUGACAAACCGGAGGAAGGUGGGGAUGACGUCAAGUCCUCAUGGCCCUUACGCGCUGGGCUACACACGUGCUACAAUGGCAACUACAGUGGGCAGCAACCUCGCGAGGGGUAGCUAAUCUCCAAAAGUUGUCUCAGUUCGGAUUGUUCUCUGCAACUCGAGAGCAUGAAGGCGGAAUCGCUAGUAAUCGCGGAUCAGCAUGCCGCGGUGAAUACGUUCCCAGGCCUUGUACACACCGCCCGUCACACCAUGGGAGUUGGUUUCACCCGAAGGCAGUGCUCUAACCCGCAAGGGAGGAAGCUGACCACGGUGGGAUCAGCGACUGGGGUGAAGUCGUAACAAGGUAGCCGUAGGGGAACCUGCGGCUGGAUCACC